GACGGAAAGACCCCGUGAACCUUUACUAUAGCUUGACACUGAACAUUGAGCCUUGAUGUGUAGGAUAGGUGGGAGGCUUUGAAGUGUGGACGCCAGUCUGCAUGGAGCCGACCUUGAAAUACCACCUCCCAGGCUUGAUUACCGAGCGGAUCAAAGCGGGACUGGAUCAUGCCAGCGAUUAUUAUGGCUGGCCCAGCUAUUGGCCCGGGGCAUGGAGUACAUAUAAUAGCGUCACCUAUGUUCGCGGCGCGUUA
rnacentral:rRNA from 1 species